CAUAUCAAUAAGCGGAGGAAAAGAAACCAACAGGGAUUGCCCUAGUAACGGCGAGUGAAGCGGCAACAGCUCAAAUUUGAAAUCUGGCUCUUUCAGAGUCCGAGUUGUAAUUUGCAGAGGGCGCUUUGGCGUUGGCAGCGGUCCAAGUUCUUUGGAACAGGACGUCACAGAGGGUGAGAAUCCCGUACGUGGUCGCUAGCCCUCGCCGUGUAAAGCCCCUUCGACGAGUCGAGUUGUUUGGGAAUGCAGCUCUAAAUGGGAGGUAAAUUUCUUCUAAAGCUAAAUACUGGCCAGAGACCGAUAGCGCACAAGUAGAGUGAUCGAAAGAUGAAAAGCACUUUGGAAAGAGAGUCAAAUAGCACGUGAAAUUGUUGAAAGGGAAGCGCUUGCAGCCAGACUUGCCUGUAGUUGCUUACCUAGACUUUUGUCUGGGGUACUCUUCUGCAGGCAGGCCAGCAUCAGUUUGGGCGGUUGGAUAAAGGUCUCUGUCACGUACCUCUCUUCGGGGAGGCCUUAUAGGGGAGACGUAAUGCAACCAGCCUGGACUGAGGUCCGCGCAUCUGCUAGGAUGCUGGCGUAAUGGCUGUAAGCGGCCCGUCUUGAAACACGGACCAAGGAGUCUAACAUCUAUGCGAGUGUUUGGGUGUCAAGCCCAUACGCGUAAUGAAAGUGAACGGAGGUGGGAACCUUAGGGUGCACCAUCGACCGAUCCUGAUGUCUUCGGAUGGAUUUGAGUAAGAGCAUGGCUGUUGGGACCCGAAAGAUGGUGAACUAUGCUUGAAUAGGGUGAAGCCAGAGGAAACUCUGGUGGAGGCUCGCAGCGGUUCUGACGUGCAAAUCGAUCGUCAAAUUUGGGCAUAGGGGCGAAAGACUAAUCGAACUAUCUAGUAGCUGGUUCU
rnacentral:rRNA from 1 species